GACACACAGACACACACGAAUGUAGUGCGGACUGACAUGCGGUAUAUAUAGGGAACAGGAAAAGAAAAAAGAAGUGACACAGGAAGAGAAAGCAGAAUGACAGGGGUGAGUCAAGCGUACCUUAUGGCAAAAAACAAAAUGGAAAGAAGACUGGUCAACCUAUGCUCCUCUGUACACUCAUAUGAUACAUGCAACAUUCAAAGAGAGUCUACAAAACGGCAAAAACAAGACAGAAACAAGACAGUUGUUUGUACAGUCUCCUGUGCCUUUACUUCAGCAAAAAAUGGAAAAGAGAAAGACUGAUGACACGGAUAAACACGACGGCGCCCUGGCUUAAAAGCAGGUGUCUGAUCGGUCCAAAGGUUUUUCCUGCAGCAAGACUACAACAUCUUUACAUCAUGGAAUCAGCCUGGGAUUGCAUAACGAGACACAAGACAGGCAUCUAAAUACACGGAACAACUGUAAUAAGCUUUCUAAGAUGCUGAACAAUCUACAAAGUACCUUUAAAAAAAUUGUGUGCAGGUGUAACGAGGAGAACUGGUACUGUUUUACAAGACUAAAACAUUCGCAUAACUCACAGAUGAAAUAAAUGACAUUAAUUGUAGCAACUGUGCAUGACAAGGUCAGGAAUAUGUGACACAGUACAGGAACAGUCAGUUCUCAACAAUAGGGUGUUGAUGGAGGAGAAACAGAUCUGAGACACUUUUUACCAAAUGGUUACGGUCAAAUGACUGAGUCUGAAGAAGGUCAAACCCUUAACUGACAACCAAGUGGUGGAAGGUGGGUGGUGGGCUAAGUGAGGAGGAUCUGCUUCAGAGGUCUUGUAAAGUCCAAGCCUUUGCAGGUUGGAACUGUUUUUCCAUAAUACAAAUAACCAAAGUCUAUUAAUCAGCUAAUUUAGCUAGUUUUCUCUACAUUUAAUGUUAACCUUUACCAUACGAUGCAUUACUAUGGGUUUAUGAGAGAAAGGAAGCUCCAGGCAGCAUCAAUGUCAAUUGCCUGAGCAAGUAAACAACUGCAUGAAAGUCUCCAGGCACAACUGUUAUUUUUUCGUCUGUGUUGACUUACUAACUUCAGUCUUUCAUACUGUCACGUGGGUUGCUGGUUGUAAAAAUGCAGUAAUUUACUAACCUGUGAGAAACGUUAAAGUGGAGGUUAACAGUAAACAGCCUUUAGUCUUUCUUACCUUUGGCUGAGUGCAACAAGUCGAGAUAGCGGGAAACAUUACAUACAUUUGGCCAAGUUUAAUGUACCUGUCCCUUUACAGCUUCGGGAACUGAAGAAUGAUGUUAAUGUUAUCCGUCAGCUGAACAUUGAUAGCGCAGACAGUAAAAUGUGUUGGUGAGGACACUAACUGCUAACUCACUAUGACCACACUGUGCCCAGCUUUAGAAACAGCUGGAAAAGGUUAUUUGCUUACAACCACAGGAUUCAGAAUCAUGGAGGAUAAAGUUGCCCUAACCUGUGAGUCAAAGGUCGAAAAUGGUCAUGGCUAGUUUAACAUUCUGUCAAAAUGUAGCUGCGUGGCAGAAUACAAAGCAUACGAAUGAGUCUGUAGUUUUAGAUGGUACAAAGUUGCCUUUAUGUCAGCCAUGGAAAAUAAAAAACCUUUUCUAUGCUCAAAGUUUUAGUGCAAUUCUUCAUAAGCAAAUCUGUCUGAUUUACAGACCCUUUUAGUCCAAUUUUAAAUGUUCUUUAUCCUGAAGAAUGUGUUGCCCUGAUUAAAGCUCGUGUCCGGAGUUUGAAUCGCAGUGUCUCCCAAAACACUGUUGGUCCCUCCCUCUGAUUUCGCCCCUUUAUUUGUGCACACGCAGUACAUGAGAGGAGUGCCCGGAGUGCUGCAGCAUCUUGCCUGUUUUGCUGUUUUCCACUCUUCUACAUUUAGUACAUUUAGUAAAUAAUAAAGGAAUUACGUGAGAAUGCUGUAUUGAGUCUAACUUGUCCUAAUACCAAAAUAACAUGAAUCUGCUAGGACGAACGAGUAAAGUUUCAAUAUGUGAUUACACUCGUGUAUCCCUCUCGAUGACGUUUAUCAAACUUAAUGCAUUUACGCGUGUAUAUGUGUUACAUUGUUUAUUUAUUUCUAUCUAGAGUUCAGAAUUGCAUGACUCCUCUGACGAAGAGUAUGUCCCAGACGCCCCAACAUCUUCCUCCAGAGGUCGGGCAUCUAAACGAAGCCGUCAGGCGGGCUAUGGAGGCCGUGGUCGGGGAGCGACGCGAGCACCCCGAGCCAAAAAACGUCCUGCAGUCUCUUGGCCUGACAAGCCGUGGGAUUGGUAA